UGCAACCAGUUUCUAUGAGGAGCACUUAUGGGUAUUGGAAUCUUCUCCUAGUUGAACCCCCUAUCUCAGCAGUGACUUUUCAGUCUGUGGUGUUCCUACAUGAAGACAUUUUGCAGUUUCAUUUUCUGGAAGGCACAUACUGGUGCAAAUUCCAACCUAAUCAGAAGUAUGGAGUCAGUGAAGCCUGAUCCAAAUGUUGUGUGCACCUAAAGCAGAAAGAAAUCCCACUGAACAAAGCUUUCUAAAGAAGCACUCCAAGUACGAAGAGACGGAGGGGAAAGCGCUCGAGCCCUUGCAGUAUGGUAAGCUGCUUCACCAAACAGGAUGCUGGAAUUCAAGCCUGCUGGGAUCGUCACUGGGAUUCAGCCUUUUGACUAACAGAAGGAAGCAGACCGUUCUUGCCAGGAGAUGCAGUUACCUCGGAUUACCUUCUUCUGAUUAGUGACAAGAUGACAUGUGCACAGCUCUCACCAUACGCAGGAGCUCUGCAACCAUACUUGUUUCAGAGAAACGGCGAUAAAAAUAGGACUGGAACUUGGAGGUAAGGCAGCCCUCCCACAAAAAUGAUACCAAAGUCGU